rnacentral:lncRNA from 1 species
GACCAGAUGUGCAAUGAGUUGCUGAACAUCGAGGUGAAGAUGGAGGAGAAAGAUAAGUCGUUGCUACUGCUAUGCUCACUACCCCCUUCCUAUGAUCUAUUGGUGACGACGCUGCUCUACAGCAAAGAGAUCUUGGAGUAUGAAGACAUGGUCUCAGUGUUGCAAUCCAAUGAACAGUGAGAGAAGUUGACCAAGGAAGGUGCUCCCCAGGAGGGAUUAGCCAUGGGGGA